rnacentral:lncRNA from 1 species
UGGGAAACAGAUCACGUGAUCCCAGAGAUGCUGACCUAUGAUAGUUAGGGUUCAUCACACACUCAUCGUCCCUCCUUCCAUCUCCUUUAGCCUGAAUUUACCUUUGUUAUCAUUGCUUUAUUUUCCAGGAUAAUAGGAAAGACCCAAAGUCUGCUAAGAAGAAGGGACAUCAGAGGAACCCCUACCUUAUUUUUAUGCAUCUGGAAGCCUUAUUUGGAGCAGGAGGGGUUUACAUGCUCAAACCCCAUCAAGCUAACACGGAAGCACUAUUCCAGGGAGCCAGCAAGGGAGAUAGAAUGCUGCUUCUUAAAUUAGUCCCCUAGGAUCGAUGGAAUGUUGUCCCCAGAGAAGAGAACUGCCACCAUAUUGGGGCUGAAGGCCUACUGAGAAGUGUACUUACCUGGCACCGGCUUUCAUAGGUCUGGCCUUGAGCUCUCCAGAGAAGCUCAUGUCAGUGAGCAGAAAUUGAUAACCCCAAGAUAUAAAACUGUUGGGUUUUGUUGCUAUUUAACUUUUACUAAACUCAACAACAUUGCUGAGGAAUUAUCCUCUGAACCAGAUUGUCCUGAAGUCAGGCCUACAAUUGACGACAAGGAAAAAACUCUCCUGAAAAUGGCUUCAACAUACUUUAUAUACAGAGAUACGAAAAAUUGUGCUCUAUAUGUAUCAUAACAAUUGUAAUGCAUUCCACUGUUGUCAUGUAUUUAAUAAAAAAUAAUAAAAUCAAUUAAAAAAAAGAAAGAAAGAAAACGGCUUCAAGAGGCAAGGUUCCUCCAUCACGUGGGAAGGCAGCCAGGAGUUGGCAACCCAGCUCCUCUGACUUCUUGUCUUGCCAUCCUUCAAGCAUGGCUGUCACAUACAGGCAGACAUCCUGAUCAUGUUCCAAGUAGAAAGAAGAACCAGAUAGAAAAAAGGGAGAAUGGGCAUCCAAUCCCAUCUGUCCCUUUUCCAAAGCUUUCCCAGAAGCUGUACCCAGCAACUCCUACCCACAAUUCAUUGGCCAAGACAGGACCUCCACUACCUGUGAAGGAGGCUAAAAAAGGUGAGUCUUCUUUUCUUACCUUAUCAAUAUAGGAGAGCAGGGAGAAGGGAACUACAAAUGCACUGGGGUCAGCACACCAUGGUCUAGUCCAUAGCUGAGACUACCAGAAAAAACUGGAUGUUUCUGUCAAUCUUUUCUUCUUCUUCAAACAAGAUUAUUCUCCAAGCAUCACUCUCCAUUAGAGUACAUGGUGAAUAUUGGAAUAUGGAAGAGGAGUUAUUGCCCCUUGCCCCCUUCAUAGAAGAACAAAACAGCAAGAUGUGCUUUUUUAGAAAACAGACACCUAGUGAGUUACUUCACUUGGGGCCAAACCUGUGUUCUCAGCAGCAAAGGUGAUUAUUUUUCCUAAUUACUAUUGCUUUGCAUCUUGUUAUGUGAGCUGUCAGCGUCUUAAUUUAGCUGAUGACUUCCCACAAUCAUUUUAGAUUUAUUUAGUACCUAAUUUACUUUACAUAGCUUCUGCUGUGAACGUUAAUCAGAGGCCCAAAAACUCUUAAUAAGCUCAAUAUUUUACAGUGAACACGACCCUGAGGAGUGCUUCAUUGAAAAUGAUGACAAAGCACAGGGGCCGUCGCUUUCAGAAUCAAUAAGUUGCCGACUAACGAAUUAACGAGGCCCGGAACUCGUACUUCACUCCAGGCCUCCUGUAGCAGAUGCACAAAUGAGCAUGUGGAAAUAUAGCUGGUUCUUAGGAGAAAAUUUCCACUCACCCAGCAGCCAGAUGUAGGAGCAUCUCUGUAGUCUUAUAAAUAAUGACCAAAAAACAUACACCGUUCCAUCAUUAAAACACUCUUGGCUUUGCCACCAUCUCUUCAGCUAACUCUCUGGAGGUGAAACUCUUUUGUUUUAAUGUUUCCAGCAGUUCUGACCUUUUAUAUUAGUGGGGAAAAAAAUAAGGUUGGCAAAAAUUGUCCUUUUGAGGUGUCUCUCUCCAUAUAGCAAUUAGCAGCAAGUGUGAAAGGCAGGGACCCUGUCCCCACCCCAUCUAAUGCCUUUUGUAUUACUGUCACUCCUAAGUUAUCUGAAAAGUGCCCUGCAAAAAAAGUAGGAGCUCAGAGAACCUUGGUUGAAUACAUAAAUGACCUUCAUGGUGGCAGAGAGUCAAAGAAGGCAGAGGAUGAGACUGAGCAGGAUACAUGGCAGAGGGUGGCCAGGGGAUAUGUGCUAUAGAAAAGGCUGGAGUUCUCUGUUCCUUUCAGGUAGAGAAAGCGUUAUGGUUUGGAUCUGAGGUGUGCCCCCAUAUCUCACUUGUGAGACAGUGCAAGAAGUUUCAAAGGAGAAAAGUUUGGGUUGUAAGAGUCUCAAUCCAAUCAGUGAUUUAAUCCCCUGGUAGGGAUUAACCUAGGGGUAACUGAAGUGGUUGGGCGUGGCUGGAGGAGGUGGGGAUUUGGCACGGCUUUGGGUACCUAUUUGUAUCUGUAAAGUGGAAUCUCCCUCUGUUUUCUGAUCAUCAUGUGAACUGCGUUCCUCUCUUCUGCCAUGAUGUUCUGCCUCACCUCAAGCCCAGAGGAAUGGAGCCGGCCUUCUAUGGACUAAGACCU